GGGUGCGAUCAUACCAGCGUUAAUGCACCAGAUCCCAUCAGAACUCCGUAGUUAAGCGCGCUUGGGCUAGAGUAGUGCUGGGAUGGGUGGCCUCCCGGGAAGUCCUAGUGUUGCACCCU
rnacentral:rRNA from 1 species